GAUGAACGCUGGCGGCGUGCCUAGUACAUGCAAGUCGAGCGAACAGACGAGGAGCUUGCUCCUUUGACGUUAGCGGCGGACGGGUGAGUAACACGUGGAUAACCUACCUAUAAGACUGGGAUAACUUCGGGAAACCGGAGCUAAUACCGGAUAACAUGUUGAACCGCAUGGUUCAACAGUGAAAGACGGUCUUGCUGUCACUUAUAGAUGGAUCCGCGCCGCAUUAGCUAGUUGGUAAGGUAACGGCUUACCAAGGCAACGAUGCGUAGCCGACCUGAGAGGGUGAUCGGCCACACUGGAACUGAGACACGGUCCAGACUCCUACGGGAGGCAGCAGUAGGGAAUCUUCCGCAAUGGGCGAAAGCCUGACGGAGCAACGCCGCGUGAGUGAAGAAGGUCUUCGGAUCGUAAAACUCUGUUAUUAGGGAAGAACAAAUGUGUAAGUAACUAUGCACGUCUUGACGGUACCUAAUCAGAAAGCCACGGCUAACUACGUG
rnacentral:rRNA from 1 species